rnacentral:rRNA from 1 species
AUUGAACGCUGGCGGCAGGCCUAACACAUGCAAGUCGAGCGGAGCGGCGGACGGGUGAGUAAUGCCUAGGAAUCUGCCUGGUAGUGGGGGCUAACGUCCGGAAACGGGCGCUAAUACCGCAUACUAUCAGAUGAGCCUCGGUCGGAUUCGCUAGGUGGUGGGGUAAAGGCCUACAAAGGCGACGAUCCGUAACUGGGCUGAGAGGAUGAUCAGUCACACGGGAACGGAGAAACGGGCCAGACGCCUACGGGAGGAAGCAGUGGGGAAUAUUGCACAAUGGGGGAAAGCCUGAUGCAGCCAUGCCGCGUGUGUGAAGAAGGCCUUAGGGUUGUAAAGCACUUUCAGCGGGGAGGCGUUACCCGCAGAAGAAGCACCGGCUAACUCCGUGCCAGCAGCCGCGGUAAUAC